UCAAACCGUUCUCCGCUUGACGGGUUCAUUCCGCUUCGAAUUCCGCUUCGAAAAUUGUUUCGAAAUUUUCUAAACGGAAUCUCCGGUUGGACUCCGUUUCGAUUCCGUUUAACCAUUUUUGCACAAGGGCGACACCUACUGGUGUACGGCGGAACCUCGAUGACAUUUCGCCGCGUUUCGCCGAAGCGGUUUUUCUGCCAGUGUGUGAGUGAGGUGAAACGUCAAACGUGUUUAAUCGUGGAAAUUUUUGCCAGCGUUGCAGCACGAGAUGAGAAAUCAGAUUUUCUCGAAAUCUCCGGGCUAGUUAUCUCCAGUUGAUUAAUUUCAAGUGUCGUCCUAAAAUAAACGGCGCCUCAAGUGUUUCAAGUGUUCCGGCGACAAUCCGACGGACGACAGAGUAUCUAAUGACCACUGGUCCGUCGAGGCGAUGCUCGGGAAAGAUUAUUGCGGAACUACCUAGAGGCUGCUGCAAGUGGGAGUAGCGGAAGCGGAACUGUCCUGCGUGCUGAUGUUGGAAUUGGAUCAAACCUCCCUAUUCAUGUCAUGAUCGAAACAAGUGCGUGAAGCGGGUGCCUCGUCCGGCUGUGAUCACUUCGAUGUGCGAAACUCGCACAACCGAACCAAAUUUGUCCCGAGCCAAGAACGUUCGAUUGACGACGUUAUGCAUGAGGAGUUUUUGGCGUCAGAGGAGAGAGAAGGGAAAAUGGCAGCGGAUGGACCGGCCGUUCUCUAUGACUACUAUGAAUUUGCGGUGGAAGUCGAUCUGGACCUACGAGUUGCCAAACUUCUGUGUCAGUUGGUCCUCUACGAGAUGACAGACCAGCGGCUCAUCGGAACAUCUUGAGUUUCAAUGGCAUCCAUUUCUUAAACGUCUCCAAAAGCAACCGGGUCUCCAAACAUCACUGAAUCUAAUGCGGACAGGGUACGUUUCGACGUGAUUCAGGAAUCCCCGUUCAAUGAUGUUGAGAUUUGGAUCGUGUUUGUGGACGAGGGAGGUCCUUCGGGAUUGCAUCGACAUCUCAGUUCGGACGAUCAGAACCAGAACAAGUUAAACACGUCACUAUUUUUAACCACCAAAAUCCCCGGGGGAGACGACGAGCAAGAUCUACCUGUUGCAGCAGGACAUAAGCUGCGCAACCCACAGCACGUGGAUAUUCCACACGCCGUCGUCACUACUCAGCAAAUGAUUCUCGUAAAACCCGAUCUCGAACCUCUUCCAUAAAUAAACUGCGAGAGAACUACAUGAAUGUCGGUCGGCGCCAUCGUACCAGUUUACCAAACUGCAAACCUACGAAAGCACACCAAAUCGACGAAAGCGGUUGACGAGCUGGACACCGAGUCUUGGACCAACCCGCCCCUCAAAAUCAUCCGACAAGAUCAACGGCGGCCAAGACGAAGACGAUGGAAUCCCGCGUGUAUCACCCCAGCGUCGAGUACGGUCGAAGCGGGAAUUGUCCGCCGACUUGGAGAGUCACAUUGGACGAUUCCCGCUUUGACCGUACUCGACGCGUUAUCCCAUCGUCUUCGUCUUGGCCGCCACCGAUCGUGUCGGAUGUUUUGCAUGGCCGUUUGUUCCAGGUCAAACUCGGUCUCCAGCUCGUCAACCGAGAAGUGGUUCGAGUACCUAGGAACGAUACCACAGGCGUCUUCUAGUAGGAUAACGAUCAGAAGAUUUAGCGCAGAAGGGAACUUCCCAAGUAUGAGAAUUAAGAUCGACAAUCGGAUGUUUUCGCAACGAUUAUCCCCGGAGCGGAUUGCGGAGAAUGCUACAGCGACACCGUUGUUCACCUUUCUCGACUACCGUCCGGAGGUCCCGAUUCCCCCCAACUAACUUCCCGGAAACAACUCGCAGCAAGGUUAAGCUUCACGUCCUUUCGCCGUCCAACGGCGUACGGUUCGGACCGUAUCUACCGGCAGUUCCAGUGCCGACUGCGAAUGUCCCGCAGCAGACAUCCGGUAGUUUCGAUGGAACUCCAAACAGUGGCGGCGGUUCCGUAGCGGGCCCGAGCAACCGCGAUAUCGACGAAAAUAACUGCAACUUUUGCCUGGACUCGAUCGAAUCGGUGUCCACUGCUGCAACAGGUAGAUCUUGCUGGUCGUCUCCCACGGGAUUUUCGCGAACCUGCCGACUUGGUAUAGCGAUCAUUCAUGUACAUGCACUAAAACCUAUGUAAUUUUGCGAAAAAAUACCAUUAAAAGGGGUAUUUGGGGCUGGGACUCGUGUUUUUGUUUGAAUAAUUGAUAAAUAUAAUCUCAAACUAUAAAAAAUGACCGAUCUGUUUUUUUUCUGGUUGAAUUUCAAUUCAACCAAAACAAAAAGAAAACCAGUAUAUAAAAAACAAGAAGAAGAAGCAGCUGUCAAAACAAACCCGUUCAUUCCGUUUCGAUUCCGUUUGAAUUCCGCUUAAACCGAUUUGCGGCGAAAACUCAAACGGAACCGGUUGUUGCGUUUGAAACGGAAUACGUUUUAGAAUCUAAAACGAACACUGUUUAGAAUUCGAAUCGAACUUUUUUCGCUCAAGCGGAAUUCUAAACGGAAUUCAAACGGAACGCGCUGAGUGGGC